CCCUUAGAUGUUCUGGGCUGCAUGCGUGCUACAAUGGCGUUUCCAGCAAGUCUGCGAACCCGAGAGGGCCAGCGGAUCUUCGAAUUGGCGUCGUGAUCGGGACAGUCGAUUGCAAUUAUUUGACUCAAACGAGGAAUUCCUUGUAAUCGCGAUUCAUCAUAUCGCGCUGAAUACGUCCCUGCCCUUUGUACACACCGCCCGUCGCUCCUACCGAUUGAGCGAUCCGGUAAAUGUUUUGGAUUGGUGCCGGGGCGGCUAGCUGCCGGUCGCUACGAAAUUUUGUGAACCUUAUCGCUUAGAGGAAGGAAAAGUCGUAACA
rnacentral:rRNA from 1 species